UGCUGAUUUUUGCUCUCCUCCAUAGCUGGGGUUUCUUCAACUUUCAAGCUUCAUAGUAAGUGAUUCCAAGCCCCGUUUUUAAUGAUCUUUACGUUUUUGGAGUCCCGGUAACUUGAUUAAGCUUAUUCUAGUAAUAAUUCAACCUAGGGUUCAUAUUUGGAAAAAUACCCAUAGCUGAAAUUUGUGUGUUUUGGUGUUUUAUGAUAGAAUAUGAGCUUUUAAAUUAUGUUAAACAACUUAUGCUACUCGGUUUUAAGUGAAAACGAGUAAAAUGACUUAAAUCGGAAAAAAAAUACCAAUAGUCAUAAGUAUACGUUAGAGUGUGAUUUUGAUAUUGCCAUAGAAGGGAAAAAUGAUCAGCAUGUCAUAAAAUAUAAGAAAAUAGGAUGAAGUUUAAUUUACGAGCCUUGGGGCAAAAGUGCAAAUAUGUGAAAGUUUAGGGGUAAAAAUAUAAUUUUUCUAAAGUUUGGGUCAAGGACUGUUUUAAUAAAUGUGAAUAUUAAAUAAGUUAAAUUUGCUAUUAUAGAUCAAGAAGAACGAAAUUCGGGAGUAAAUCGGGGAAAAGAAAAAGUAAAGGACUAAAUUGUAAAGUUUAGUCACAUUUUGUAUCAAGGUAAGUUACAGUAAAUAAAUGCAAUAUUCUUUUAUUUUACAUUAUUAUUGUCAAUUUCCAGCAUUUAUAUAUUUAUGUUAUGAAAAUAUUUAAAGUCAAAUUUAAGGUGAAGUAACAGAGGAAAAGUGUUAGAAAGCCUCGGUUGAACCCUAGGAAUGUUAGGAUAUUAGGGUUGACAGGACAGAACAGAAAUGAGCCAUGUAAGUCCAUAUUAGAAAUAUGGCUUUGGAGACAGGAUUGAGCCAUGUAAGUCCAUAUUAUAUAUGGCAUUGGAGACAGGAAUAAUUCAUGUAAGUCCAUGUCAAAGACAUGGCAUUGGCAGGAUAUUGAAAGACAGGAACGACCCUAGUAUCCUUAGUAUUCCGAGUGAUUCAACGGGUCAGGGUACGAGUUAAAUUACAGUGAAUUAACAGCAAAGGAAAAGUAGAUUAUAUUUAUGAAAAAGGAAAGGUCAGGUAAGAAAGAAGGUAAGGGAAUAAAGAAGAAGAUAGAAAUUGAGAAGUAAAGAAAUUUAUGAUGUUAGAUGAUAUUAUGCAUAAUUAUCGAUUAUGUUGAAUGUUGUGAUUUAUUUGCUUGUAAGCUUACUAAGCCUAGUGCUUAAUCUCUUUAUUUUCUUCUUCUUAUAGUACUUAUCUAGCCACUCGGGGAUUGAAGGAAACGUCGGAGGCCGAUCACACUAUCAAAGAAAUAACUCGGUAUAAUUAGACGUUUUGUUUUGGGUAUGGUAUGUAUAGAAACUUAGCUACUUUUGAUAUAAUGUGAACAAUGAAUGAUGUGUAAAUACUUGCUAGUGAUUAGCUAAUAAAAUGGCCGAUGAUAUACAUGUUUAUUAAUAUGUAUGAUUGAAUGGUGAUUAUCACAUGAAAAUUAUGAAAAAUAUGAAAGUAACCUAAAAACAGAUUCAAG
rnacentral:lncRNA from 1 species